GUCCUGUCAUGGCCUAAAACAGUCUCCCAGGUUAAUUUUAAAAGAGCCCUUGCUGAGGAGGACGUCCAUUCAGAUGGUUAAGGGUGGGGGUGCUUAGGAUGCUAUUUUUGGUUUACAAAUACUCUAAGAUAAAAACACCAUAAUUUUUUUUUUUUUUUUUGAGACGGAGUCUCACACUGUCGCCAAGGCUGGAGUGCAGUGGUGAGAUCUCGGCUCACUGCAACCUCCGCUUCCCGCGUUCAAGCGAUUCUCCUGCCCAAACCUCUCGAGUAGCUGGGGCUACAGGCACGUGACAA
rnacentral:lncRNA from 10 species